CAGUCGAGCGGAACGAGUUAUCUGAACCUUCGGGGAACGAUAACGGCGUCGAGCGGCGGACGGGUGAGUAAUGCCUAGGAAAUUGCCCUGAUGUGGGGGAUAACCAUUGGAAACGAUGGCUAAUACCGCAUGAUGCCUACGGGCCAAAGAGGGGGACCUUCGGGCCUCUCGCGUCAGGAUAUGCCUAGGUGGGAUUAGCUAGUUGGUGAGGUAAGGGCUCACCAAGGCGACGAUCCCUAGCUGGUCUGAGAGGAUGAUCAGCCACACUGGAACUGAGACACGGUCCAGACUCCUACGGGAGGCAGCAGUGGGGAAUAUUGCACAAUGGGCGCAAGCCUGAUGCAGCCAUGCCGCGUGUAUGAAGAAGGCCUUCGGGUUGUAAAGUACUUUCAGUCGUGAGGAAGGCGGCGUCGUUAAUAGCGGCGUUGUUUGACGUUAGCGACAGAAGAAGCACCGGCUAACUCCGUGCCAGCAGCCGCGGUAAUACGGAGGGUGCGAGCGUUAAUCGGAAUUACUGGGCGUAAAGCGCAUGCAGGUGGUUUGUUAAGUCAGAUGUGAAAGCCCGGGGCUCAACCUCGGAAUAGCAUUUGAAACUGGCAGACUAUAGUACUGUAGAGGGGGGUAGAAUUUCAGGUGUAGCGGUGAAAUGCGUAAAGAUCUGAAGGAAUACCGGUGGCGAAUGCGGCCCCCUGGACAGAUGCUGACACUCAGAUGCAAAAGC
rnacentral:rRNA from 1 species